rnacentral:rRNA from 1 species
GAUGAACGCUGGCGGCGUGCCUAAUACAUGCAAGUCGAGCGAACAGACGAGGAGCUUGCUCCUCUGACGUUAGCGGCGGACGGGUGAGUAACACGUGGAUAACCUACCUAUAAGACUGGGAUAACUUCGGGAAACCGGAGCUAAUACCGGAUAAUAUAUUGAACCGCAUGGUUCAAUAGUGAAAGACGGUUUUGCUGUCACUUAUAGAUGGAUCCGCGCCGCAUUAGCUAGUUGGUAAGGUAACGGCUUACCAAGGCAACGAUGCGUAGCCGACCUGAGAGGGUGAUCGGCCACCCUGGAACUGGACCACGGUCCAGACUCCUACGGGAGGCAGCAGUGGGGAAUCUUCCGCAAUGGGCGAAGGCCUGACGGAGCAACGCCGCGUGAGUGAUGAAGGUCUUCGGUUCGUAAAACUCGUUUUUUGGGGAAGACCAAAUGUGUAAGUAACUAUGCACGUCUUGACGGUACCUAAUCAGAAAGCCACGGCUAACUACGUG